UACGGAGGAUCCAAGCGUUAUCCGGAUUUAUUGGGUUUAAAGGGCGCGUAGGCGGGUAGUCAAGUCAGCGGUGAAAGCUUGCGGCUCAACCGUGAAAUUGCCGUUGAAACUGGUUACCUUGAGUGUAGAUGAGGUGGGUGGAAUUCGUGGUGUAGCGGUGAAAUGCUUAGAUAUCACGAGGAACUCCAGUGGCGUAGGCAGCUCACUGGACUACAACUGACGCUGAGGCGCGAAAGUGCGGGGAUCAAACAGG
rnacentral:rRNA from 1 species